AUUGAACGCUGGCGGUAGGCCUAACACAUGCAAGUCGAACGGCAGCACAGUACGUGCUCGCUCUUACGGGGGCCGAGGGGCGGGUGGUGCAUAAGUACAUCCCAAUCUACUUUUUCUAACGGCCUAACGCGGGGGCACUUACGCUAUUCCCGCUUACGACCAACGGGUGAAAUCAUGGGAUCUCCCGCCCUCACACGAUUCGAUGUCGGAUUAGCUAGUUGGUGGGGUAAAGGCCUACCAAGGCGACGAUCCGUAGCUGGUCUGAGAGGAUGAUCAGCCACACUGGAACUGAGACACGGUCCAGACUCCUACGGGAGGCAGCAGUGGGGAAUAUUGGACAAUGGGCGAAAGCCUGAUCCAGCCAUACCGCGUGGGUGAAGAAGGCCUUCGGAUUGUAAAGCACUUUUGUUGGGAAAGAAAAGCAGUAGGUUAAUACCCCGCUGUUUUGACGGUACCCAAAGAAUAAGCACCGGCUAACUUCGUG
rnacentral:rRNA from 1 species